GUUAGCUGCAGAAGAAGCACCGGCUAACUCCGUGCCAGCAGCCGCGGUAAUACGGAGGGUGCGAGCGUUAAUCGGAAUUACUGGGCGUAAAGCGCAUGCAGGUGGUUUGUUAAGUCAGAUGUGAAAGCCCGGGGCUCAACCUCGGAAUUGCAUUUGAAACUGGCAGACUAGAGUACUGUAGAGGGGGGUAGAAUUUCAGGUGUAGCGGUGAAAUGCGUAGAGAUCUGAAGGAAUACCGGUGGCGAAGGCGGCCCCCUGGACAGAUACUGACACUCAGAUGCGAAAGCGUGGGGAGCAAACAGGAUUAGAUACCCUGGUAGUCCACGCCGUAAACGAUGUCUACUUGGAGGUUGUGGCCUUGAGCCGUGGCUUUCGGAGCUAACGCGUUAAGUAGACCGCCUGGGGAGUACGGUCGCAAGAUUAAAACUCAAAUGAAUUGACGGGGGCCCGCACAAGCGGUGGAGCAUGUGGUUUAAUUCGAUGCAACGCGAAGAACCUUACCUACUCUUGACAUCCAGAGAACUUUCCAGAGAUGGAUUGGUGCCUUCGGGAACUCUGAGACAGGUGCUGCAUGGCUGUCGUCAGCUCGUGUUGUGAAAUGUUGGGUUAAGUCCCGCAACGAGCGCAACCCUUAUCCUUGUUUGCCAGCACUUCGGGUGGGAACUCCAGGGAGACUGCCGGUGAUAAACCGGAGGAAGGUGGGGACGACGUCAAGUCAUCAUGGCCCUUACGAGUAGGGCUACACACGUGCUACAAUGGCGCAUACAGAGGGCGGCCAACUUGCGAAAGUGAGCGAAUCCCAAAAAGUGCGUCGUAGUCCGGAUCGGAGUCUGCAACUCGACUCCGUGAAGUCGGAAUCGCUAGUAAUCGUGGAUCAGAAUGCCACGGUGAAUACGUUCCCGGGCCUUGUACACACCGCCCGUCACACCAUGGGAGUGGGCUGCAAAAGAAGUGGGUAGU
rnacentral:rRNA from 1 species